UAUUUUUAAUAAUUGGUGUAAGAAAAAAUCACGCUUUCAAUAGAGAAAUGCUACCUGUACGGUUAUUAGUUUCUAGGUAUAUAUAAAUAUUAAGGGCGUGUUUGGUUCGAAAUCGGAGUCGGAAUCGGAAUCAAAAUAAGCUGGAAUCGGAAUCGGAAUGACUCAUUAUCUAAUUUUGUUUGGUUCAUCACUUGAAUCAGAAUCGGAAUAAAUCAUUCCCAUUAUCGGUGUUUAGUUCAGGUGGAUAUAAAAAGCGUAAUCAAAUUAAUAUACUAACAUUAUUUUUAUAGUAUAUUAAUUUAAAUUCAAAUUAAAAAUUAAAUAUUAAAAAUUUACAUCAAAAUUUUGAAAUAAUGUCAAAAUUUUAAAUAUAUUUUUUUUUUAAAAAAAUUAAACUUUGAAGUUGAGUGGAUAAUUCAAAAUAUGAAAUUAAAUUUUAAUUUAUUCAAAUUCAAACUUAAAAUUACAAUUUAAAUUUUAAUUUGAAU
rnacentral:lncRNA from 1 species